rnacentral:rRNA from 1 species
CUGGAGGUAUCAGAAGUGCGAAUGCUGACAUAAGUAACGAUAAAGCGGGUGAAAAGCCCGCUCGCCGGAAGACCAAGGGUUCCUGUCCAACGUUAAUCGGGGCAGGGUGAGUCGACCCCUAAGGCGAGGCCGAAAGGCGUAGUCGAUGGGAAACGGGUUAAUAUUCCCGUACUUGGUGUUACUGCGAAGGGGGGACGGAGAAGGCUAUGUUGGCCGGGCGACGGUUGUCCCGGUUUAAGCGUGUAGGUGUGUGUUCCAGGUAAAUCCGGUUCACUUUAACACUGAGGCGUGACGACGAGGCACUACGGUGCUGAAGCAACAAAUGCCCUGCUUCCAGGAAAAGCCUCUAAGCAUCAGGUAACACGAAAUCGUACCCCAAACCGACACAGGUGGUCAGGUAGAGAAUACCAAGGCGCUUGAGAGAACUCGGGUGAAGGAACUAGGCAAAAUGGUGCCGUAACUUCGGGAGAAGGCACGCUGACACGUAGGUGAAGUGAUUUACUCAUGGAGCUGAAGUCAGUCGAAGAUACCAGCUGGCUGCAACUGUUUAUUAAAAACACAGCACUGUGCAAACACGAAAGUGGACGUAUACGGUGUGACGCCUGCCCGGUGCCGGAAGGUUAAUUGAUGGGGUCAGCGCAAGCGAAGCUCCUGAUCGAAGCCCCGGUAAACGGCGGCCGUAACUAUAACGGUCCUAAGGUAGCGAAAUUCCUUGUCGGGUAAGUUCCGACCUGCACGAAUGGCGUAAUGAUGGCCAGGCUGUCUCCACCCGAGACUCAGUGAAAUUGAACUCGCUGUGAAGAUGCAGUGUACCCGCGGCAAGACGGAAAGACCCCGUGAACCUUUACUAUAGCUUGACACUGAACAUUGAGCCUUGAUGUGUAGGAUAGGUGGGAGGCUUUGAAGCGUGGACGCCAGUCUGCGUGGAGCCGACCUUGAAAUACCACCCUUUAAUGUUUGAUGUUCUAACGUGGACCCGUUACCCGGGUUGCGGACAGUGUCUGGUGGGUAGUUUGACUGGGGCGGUCUCCUCCUAAAGAGUAACGGAGGAGCACGAAGGUUGGCUAAUCCUGGUCGGACAUCAGGAGGUUAGUGCAAUGGCAUAAGCCAGCUUGACUGCGAGCGUGACGGCGCGAGCAGGUGCGAAAGCAGGUCAUAGUGAUCCGGUGGUUCUGAAUGGAAGGGCCAUCGCUCAACGGAUAAAAGGUACUCCGGGGAUAACAGGCUGAUACCGCCCAAGAGUUCAUAUCGACGGCGGUGUUUGGCACCUCGAUGUCGGCUCAUCACAUCCUGGGGCUGAAGUAGGUCCCAAGGGUAUGGCUGUUCGCCAUUUAAAGUGGUACGCGAGCUGGGUUUAGAACGUCGUGAGACAGUUCGGUCCCUAUCUGCCGUGGGCGCUGGAGAACUGAGGGGGGCUGCUCCUAGUACGAGAGGACCGGAGUGGACGCAUCACUGGUGUUCGGGUUGUCAUGCCAAUGGCACUGCCCGGUAGCUAAAUGCGGAAGAGAUAAGUGCUGAAAGCAUCUAAGCACGAAACUUGCCCCGAG